ACGGUUAAAAAUCAUAUCGUCAGGGCACUCAAUACGCUUCGUACUAAAUUACAACUUAGCGGACAUAGCCUGCUAUUCUGGUGGUUGCUGGCUGAAUGGUUCAUGAAUAAUUAACGAAAGCAUAAUUUUUUUUUAAUCCGGCUGUACCCUCUUUCAUUUUCUAUUGUCUUUAACUAUAUGGACAAGACUGGUUUCAUACAGCUCCUGGAUAAAUACCUCAC
rnacentral:misc_RNA from 1 species